ACGGUAUAAUGAAUAAUACAGGGCGAAUAAUUUUAUCGCGGUAAUUUUAAGUGAAAUUGAAUUAGUUUUUCGUUUCGUUUUUUUUUUUUUCGUAAUCAUUACGGGGAACCGUUUGAGCUUUACGCGUUAUGCCCCGAUUGUACAUUCCCGACACCUGACAUCAGUAUCUACUCCGGAUUUUCAAACAGCGACCUCCCGUUUUCAAUGGCCGAUGCGAAUUGAGAAUGUUCUUCUAGGGCUUUUGAUGCGCGUAACGCUUGUGUCGGAUUUACCAUUCGCGAGUCGCAACGUUUAAUGUUUAUGACGGGGAGUAGGCGACGGUCAUAAAUUGCGUAUCUAUCGCUUGCCGGUUCGAGAUAAAAUAAUGACCUUGUACACGUGUGCACAGCACUACUAUUAAACGCCGGGGUAAUUAAUCCGAGGGAUAGAC